UAUUAGGUUCUGAAGCUUAGACGAAUGGAGGUUCUCCCCCCUUGCUCCCUGAGAUGAAAUUCACUGUUUAAAAACUCUCUUCAGCUAGACUUGCUAAAGUUCUUGCUUUCUCCAUGGAUCUCAGUGCUAGCUAGCAUGGGUCAAGUGGCGACCUCCUUGUGCCCUGCAGUCUUGGCAGUGACGACCUCUGUUGGAUCACCUCUGUUUCUACUGUCAGCUUUCCUCAAGAAUCUUUGAAAACCACCUACCCACAUAAAUGUGACAGAUGCCAGGCUGCCCAACACGGUACCCGAAAUGCAUGCUCAUCAAUGAGUCCCUCAGGACUGGGUCCGUGUGUCCCUGAGUCCAUUCAGAGAUUUGCCUGAUCACCAGUCCUGUGACUUCCUGCUGCUUGGUGACAGAUUCCCUGGGCCACCUGCCGCCAGCCUGCCCACCUGCCUGCCUGCAUCUGCACCUAUCGUCUGCUGCCAGACAGCCAUCCUCCCUACGGAGGGAAAACUAAGAUGCGUCAGCAUAUGCACAUCUGUAGACAACCCAACAUUGAAGUUUGUCCCUCAGUACCUGACAAAGCCAGCCUUGGGACCACUCCGCAGUGGGACUUCCACUGGGCUUGAAGCAGCUAGUGCUGACCACUGUCUUAAGCAGAAGUCACUGAUGAAGAGGUGGCACUCAAUUCUGAACACUAUCCUAACCAACUACAUGGUCUAUUACCUGAAAUCCUCAUGACACAGGAGAUGGGUAAAUUCUCAUCGUUUUAUAGAUUAUGAGAGAUGCACUGCAUGCUAGCAGCAGCUGACACUUGAGACACCUUCCAUGAGUUCCUAUACUGAGCCACUACCUUUGACUAAUUCUGUUGCCAAAACCAUGGUAUACACCACACGGAAAGAUGCAAUUAAUUUGAAACAACAUAAUGUCUAUCUCUGGCAUCAUCUGACCUGCAUCAGUGACCUUCAACAGAACUGAGAGCCUUCCCACAAUAUCCUUGGGUUGGUUUUUGUUUGUUUGUUUGUUUGUUUAUUAUUAGAAAGCAAUCCUUGACUUGUAGGGGGAAAAUCAUAAUAUUUAUGCAUCUGUUCUUUCAGCAUGUGUUCUCUUAUUCACUAGACAUUGCUAGUCACUGUCACAGACUAAGGGCAUUCGUGGGCUUACACAUUGUGCACUCAUGUGACCAUAAUGUGCUAGGGAAAUAUAUUUGGCUGGAAGGAUGAAAUUGUUAUCCAACUCAUUCUGAGCUGCAAAAAAUAAUAAAGGUGUUUCAUCUGACC